rnacentral:lncRNA from 1 species
AUCCGAGCCAUAAGCCCUUAACCAUAAUAUUGGUGUGCCAGAUAAGAAAUCGAUAUAUCUUCAAUGGAUUGUAAUGCGCCUUCUGCAAUCUUAUCCAGAAUCUCUCUUGAUUGGUUGGUAAAAUGUCCGAUGUUCUCUUGGACUCAGGGGUACAAUCAUAAGUUGAAGUGGAUAAUAUCUCACAUAUACAUAUAUACGACAGUGGAGACCAAUAUAUCUUCGACGUACUAUGGUGCACCUUCUGUAAUUUGAAGAUAUGGUUAGAGGUCAAAAUAGAUAAUACCUCGUAUAUUCAGCAACGGAGACUCAAUCAUUCGAGCAUGGAGUUGAUUCAAAAUGGAUCCAGCCAUAAUUUAAAUUAAAUUAAAAAUAAUUCAACGUCAAAUCAAUGUUGGCCAAUUAAAAUCAUGCCAACGUUUUUAUGGGUCGGU